rnacentral:rRNA from 1 species
AGCAGCCGCGGUAAUUCCAGCUCCAAUAGCGUAUAUUAAAGUUGUUGCAGUUAAAAAGCUCGUGGUUGAAUUUCGGGAUCAAGGAAUCGGUCAUGCCUCGGUAUGUACUGGUUUUAUUGGUUCUCACCUUCUAAAGAACCAUGAUGUCAUUCAUUUGAUGUUAUGGGGAAUUAGGACUGUUACUUUGAAAAAAUUAGAGUGUUUAAAGCAGGCUCGCGCUUGAAUACAUUAGCAUGGAAUAAUGAAAUAGGACGUUUGAUUCUAUUUUGUUGGUUUCUAGGAUCGACGUAAUGAUUAAUAGGGAUAGUUGGGGGCAUUAGUAUUCAAUUGUCAGAGGUGAAAUUCUUGGAUUUAUUGAAGACUAACUACUGCGAAAGCAUUUGCCAAGGAUGUUUUCAUUAAUCAAGAACGAAAGUUAGGGGAUCGAAGACGAUCAGAUACCGUCGUAGUCUUAACCAUAAACUAUGCCGACUAGGGAUCGGAUGAUGUUAAUUUUUAAUGACUCAUUCGGCGUCCG